rnacentral:tRNA from 1 species
GGUGUCGCGCCGGGAAUGAACGGAUGGUUUUGAUGUGACCAAAAACGGGAGACAUGCUCCCCAACACCU